UAAAAAGCUUUCAAACUGGGAUUAGAUACCCCACUAUGCUUAGCCCUAAACCUAGACAUAUCUUUACAUAUAUGUCCGCCCGGGUACUACGAGCUACAGCUUAAAACCCAAAGGACUUGGCGGUGUCUCAGACCCACCUAGAGGAGCCUGUUCUAGAACCGAUAACCCCCGUUAAACCUCACCCCUUCUUGUUUUUCCGCCUAUAUACCGCCGUCGUCAGCUUACCCUGUGAAGGCCUAAUAGUAAGCAAAAUGGGUCCACCCAAAAACGUCAGGUCGAGGUGUAGCGCACGAAGGGGGAAGAAAUGGGCUACAUUUUCUAAAUAACAGAAUACUACGAAUGAGCACUCUGAAAUAUAGUGCCUGAAGGUGGAUUUAGUAGUAAAAAGCAAAUAGAGAGUCCUUUUGAAUUAGGCUCUGAGACGCGCACACACCGCCCGUCACCCUCCUGCAGUCAA
rnacentral:rRNA from 1 species